GACAGAGGGUGCAAACGUUGUUCGGAAUUACUGGGCGUAAAGGGCGCGUAGGCGGCCUUCUAAGUCAGACGUGAAAUCCCCCGGCUUAACCUGGGAACUGCGUCUGAUACUGGAGGGCUUGAGUAUGGGAGAGGGAUGUAGAAUUCCAGGUGUAGCGGUGAAAUGCGUAGAUAUCUGGAGGAAUACCGGUGGCGAAGGCGGCAUCCUGGACCAUUACUGACGCUGAGGCGCGAAAGCUAGGGGAGCAAACGGG
rnacentral:rRNA from 1 species